rnacentral:lncRNA from 1 species
AUGCGCCGCCAUCUCCAGGGCCACCGCCACCGCCGGAGGGGGCGGUCGGGGCGGCUCGGCACGGCUCGGCUCGGCUCGGUGGCAGCCCCAAAAAACAGACCUUCGCUGGUUGUGGCAGGACGUGCUCCCUCCUGUGUGUUGGCACCACCGGCUCCAACACUGCCCUGCAGCUGCCUCUCCCGUCCUGGCAGAGAACUGUGCAGCGGGUGCAAGAGAAACAAGCACGGCGUUGCCCUCCUUUAACACCGGCAGGAUGACAAAUUAAAUGCUCUGGGAAGUUCACAGAUGCAGAAGAAUGCAAAUCCCUGGCCCACAAGGAUGCGUGAUUGAAGGUGCUGAUCCGGCACUUUCAGGGGAGCGAAGCGCAAGCUGAAAUCUCAGCACAAACAUUGCUUUCCGUGGGGGUACAUCCACCUGGCACCACGUGGUGUGGGGUGGGCAAAGCCCUGGCUAAAAAGCCCUCAGUAAUUUGUUUUAGCGGAUUGAAGGAGGAAAAGGCAAGGAGCCUUCAUGCAGCCAUCCGGAGGAGCAGCCUGGAGCAGCGCAGGUAUUUCUCCUGGGCGUCGCUGACCUGGACUCUGCAGCGUGGACUGAUGAAGAUGAGCCCCUCGUGGUUUGGUGUUUGCUACCCUGCAGUGCACCCGGGCACUUCCCCUUCUCAUUUUUCAUGCCCUACCCAUGCCUGCUAACCACAAGCAGAGCGCCCUGGCAGUGGUAGGCUGGCUCAAUGCAGUGGGGCUGAAACAUUGGAAGAGACUGGAGGUUUCUCUUCUCUACCCUCGUUCAUUUUCAUAACAUGUUUCUUGCUGUUUUGAAUUCCACGGCGUGUUCCCUUCCCGAGGAAGGAAGCAGCGUAUUCUCUGCUCUGGAUGCUGCCUGCGUGCUCCUGUCGGAGUGAAGCUGCUUGUCCCCUUCCUGCUUGGUUUGAGCUUGAUUCUAAGCGGGAGGGGAGACAUCAUUUGCGGGUACAAAUGGAAAUGUUUUUAUUGCCGAUUUAUUUAUUUUUGGGGUGCUGAGGUAGAUGUCAUCCCUCUUGUGUCCUUGAGACUCCAGAAGAGAGAUGGGAGCUGACUUCUGAUGCGCUGAUUUUAUAGCAUCAUUUAUUUUCCCUGAAUUACCUCUGACUGGUCCUGCAACAUUGCAGCUGGCACUGCAAUUCUCAUAUCCAUCUCCCGUGUUUUAAGCGAUUUUCUUUGCUUUCUGCGGUCCUCGGGUCAUGACUGGAAAUCCCUUGGUGUUUUACUGAUAAAUAUAGAUCAAAAAGAUAAUCUCCCACUCUUGUAUUUUUUCUCUGUAGCAGUCCUUGAAGGCUGCAUGUUUUUCAGGUGUACAUCUUUUGUCAAGUGGGUCUCCUUUUGCUCUCUUUUCCAUUUCUUUUCUUUCUUCCCUUUAUUCUAGUCUCAUGUCUUCUACGUUCUCUUUUUAUUUGCUUGUUGUAUUUAUGUUUGUGAGAGAAACACACCUCAGUUUAAGUACGAUUGACUGGGCUUAACUUUGAGGUUUUCGUUAGAAAUGCUGUGUAAAUGGGGAGCUCAGUAAUUUGCCCCUUCAGCUCCUAAAGCUUUCCACUAAGAGCUGAAGCAUUUCUCCAACCUUUCCCAUCUCGCCUGCAGCUUUCACUGCCAUUUGACUGUCUCCCACAGCAAAGCUUGCUUUGUCAUACCCGCAACAAUCCGUGCUGCAUGAUUUUUACACCUGAACCUGUUGACAUUUCCCUUUUUCCAUCCUCAAAUAUUUUGACUUCUCCCUUCAAAACACCCGUGCGAGUGUCCUCCUCUCCCCCUGGCAUUUGACUCUGCCAUAUAGAAUUGAAACAGAGCUUUGGAGAGCCCUUGGCAGCUGGACUCCUCUACACAGCUGGAUCCAGGAGCCCCUUUUUCAGCUGCUGGCUGUUCAGAAGACCACUUCAGACAAUUUUCUUCAUCAUUCCAGUGGUUGGGAGGAGUGAAGGGAGGGGAGACGAGGAGGGCUGUAAAAUAAAAAAAGGUGCCCAGAAGUUAAUUUGCUGUGU